rnacentral:rRNA from 1 species
UUUAUUGGAGAGUUUGAUCCUGGCUCAGGAUGAACGCUGGCGGCGUGCCUAAUACAUGCAAGUCGAGCGGGGUCUGGCCCUUCGGGGCGGGACCCAGCGGCGAACGGGUGAGUAACACGUGGGCAACCUGCCCGCAAGACCGGGAUAACUCCGGGAAACCGGAGCUAAUACCGGAUAAUCCUUUUCUCCGCCUGGAGGAGAGGUAAAAGACGGCCUUGG